rfam:Lactobacillus johnsonii NCC 533, complete genome.
GAUCAAACUAAAGACGUUGGAAUUUAUGAAUAACAUCUGAAUCGGAAUACUAGCUUGUCCUAGGAUCCAUAUUCACUGCGACAUAGAUUC